CCUACGGGAGGCAGCAGUGAGGAAUAUUGGUCAAUGGACGAGAGUCUGAACCAGCCAAGUAGCGUGAAGGAUGACUGCCCUAUGGGUUGUAAACUUCUUUUAUAUGGGAAUAAAAUGUUCCACGUGUGGGAUUUUGUAUGUACCAUAUGAAUAAGGAUCGGCUAACUCCGUGCCAGCAGCCGCGGUAAUACGGAGGAUCCGAGCGUUAUCCGGAUUUAUUGGGUUUAAAGGGAGCGUAGGUGGAUUGUUAAGUCAGUUGUGAAAGUUUGCGGCCCAACCGUAAAAUUGCAGUUGAAACUGGCAGUCUUGAGUACAGUAGAGGUGGGCGGAAGUCGUGGUGUAGCGGUGAAAUGCUUAGAUAUCACGAAGAACUCCGAUUGCGAAGGCAGUUCACUGGACUGCAACUGACACUGAGGCUCGAAAGUGUGGGUAUCAAACAGGAUUAGAUACCCCAGUAGUC
rnacentral:rRNA from 1 species